UCUGUCUGUCCGUCCGUAUGUCACAGCCACUUUUCUCCGAAACUAUAAGAACUAUACUGUUGAAACUUGGUAAGUAGAUGUAUUCUGUGAACCGCAUUAAGAUGUUCACACAAAAAUAGAAAAAAAACAAUAAAUUUUUGGGUCUUCAAAAAUGAUAUUGAGGUUUCUAACAUCAUUUUUUUCUAAACUGAAUAGUUUGCGCGAGAGACACUUCCAAAGUGGUAAAAUGUGUCCCCCCCCCCCCCUGUAACUUCUAAAAUAAGAGAAUGAUAAAACAAAAAAAAAAUAUAUGAUGUACAUUACCAUGCAAACUUCCACCGAAAAUUGGUUUGAACAAGAUCUAGUAAGUAGUU